rnacentral:rRNA from 1 species
UUCUUUAAUUGUGGACUGGAAUGAAAGGUGAAAACUGAGAGGAUUAGUUUUUAUUAAUUAAUUUGAAUUUAGAUUAAAAGUAAAAAUACUUUUAUUAAUUUUAGGGACGAGAAGACCCUAGAAGCUAGAGAGAUUUAUCUUUUAAUUGGGGCAAUUAUUUGAAGAAAUAAAUUUUUAUUAAAUAGUUCAAUAUUAAAUAAUAUUUAAGUUACUCUAGGGAUAACAGCAUGAUUAAUUUGAAGAGUUCUUAUCAAUAAAUUAGUUUAUGACCUCGAUGUUGAAUUAAAU